CGAACGGGUGAGUAAUACGUGAGUAACCUACCUUUAACUCUGGGAUAAGCCUGGGAAACUGGGUCUAAUACCGGAUACGACCAAUCUCCGCACGGAGUGUUGGUGGAAAGCGUUAUGUAGUGGUUAUAGAUGGGCUCACGGCCUAUCAGCUUGUUGGUGAGGUAACGGCUCACCAAGGCGACGACGGGUAGCCGGCCUGAGAGGGUGACCGGCCACACUGGGACUGAGACACGGCCCAG
rnacentral:rRNA from 1 species